CUGAGAUGUGAUGCCCAUCCCCUGGGGAUUUUCCCGGGGGUGGUGCAGAACCUCCCAAACCCUUUGUGAAAACCAAACAAACCUUUUUUUGUGCUGUGUUGCUUUGGCGGGUCCAACCGCCAACAGUGAUCGGACCAAACAUGUCAAUUCAUACCAACGUCCAAUUGAUUUUGUCUGAAUCUGAAUGAAACCAAUUUAAUUA
rnacentral:misc_RNA from 1 species